rnacentral:lncRNA from 1 species
ACCCACAUUUGCACAGAUGCUGCUGCUAUAGUACUUUCAGGCAAGGCCAAGGCUUCUUGAAAGGCUGGUCAUGCCCCAGUGAUCAAUGAAGAACUCAGGGAUAUCCCAAAACUCAGGACUAUAAGGCACAAUGGGGGAGCAGGUACCAGGUGGCCAGCAUCCUAAAUGACUCUCAGCAGCUGCAGAGAAUGUAAAUAACAAGAGCUGCCUAUAAAUCUACCUCAGAAGACAAAGGGAAAAGCAAAACUCUGCCCAGGAAGACCUUACUUUACAAACCAGCUCAACCAUAUUUACCAGCCUUCCUGUGGUCAUUUGUCUGAGCUCCAGCUAGUGAAGUAUGAGUAGAACGGACAUGCACCACUUCCAGACCUGGCACCGGCAAACCCCCCAUGGCAACCCUCCAACCCUUUCCUCAACAACUGGACCACGCUGGAAAGGACUGAGGAUCUAGAGGAGGACAGGGCUGUAAUAUGGAAGGAGUUUGGUUUCUGAAGGACCAUGUAGCAGGCCACCUGCAGGGCGGGAACAUCUUUAAUAGGUUUGGAAUAGCAAGAAAUAAACUGGUCUUGUAUUAAACAACUAAU